GACGUAGGGCGCGCGCGUUGUCCGGAUUUAUUGGGCGUAAAGAGCUCGUAGGCGGCUUGUCGCGUCGACCGUGAAAACUUGGGGCUCAACCCCAAGCCUGCGGUCGAUACGGGCAGGCUCGAGUUCGGUAGGGGAGACUGGAAUUCCUGGUGUAGCGGUGAAAUGACGCAGAUAUCAGGAGGAACACCGAUGGCGAAGGCAGGUCUCUGGGCCGAUACUGACGCUGAGGAGCGAAAGCGUGGGGAGCGAACAGG
rnacentral:rRNA from 1 species